AGGUUAGCAUACAGCCACCGGAGCCCUUUGAUUCGUUUUUUUUUUUACUGAUAACUGUCAAGAAGCCAUCUUGUGUGUCUCUCAAACAUUCCUUCGUCUGCAGAUGAGGUUGGAGGGUUUUGGGGGGAAAGCGUCAAAGUUGAGCGUCAUCCCUCGCUCUACACGUGUUGGCUUCUGUUCUGUUAAAAGUGAAGAUCUUUCCUGGACCGGUCAGAAAAAAAUCAGGCUCUCCAAAAAGUAGAAAAAGGAGACGCUGGGGAACGUGUGCUGAGACAGACAGAAAGAAGAAGAAAGACACAGCUGGCUUACUGUGGGCGUUUGGAUACACUGUGGUGUUGCCUGGUUAAAUCUGACUCACUACAGAGGGUGUGAUUUCAAAUGGGGAGGAGGAAAGGAGUGAAGUGGAUGGAGAGGGAGAGACUAAGAGGACGCAGCACUGGGAGACUGGAAACGGGAGUUAGGGGACUGACUGCAUGUGUCGAAAAUGAACAAACUCUGGACUAACAGAGGGGAUCAGGCAAACGAGUAGUAGCGGUGACCAAACGAACAACAGCGCUGAAUGCCGUCAGCGCAAAACAAAUCAAUAUAAACAAACAGCGAGCCUCUCGUCUGUCAGAAGCGAGGGAACCGUCAUAACUAUUCCAUACAUCCUCGUUCAUUACCGUUAGCCAGGGUUGCUUUUAAAUACAAUGUGUCCGUUAGUAAGCAAGGAAUGCUAAUUACCAUUAGCAUUAGUUUUUGUUAGCUGCCGUGGUCGACCGUGCCUGCGUGACGUUAUUUUUUUAAUCAAUGGCAGUGUCGAUGCCAAGGCAGUGCCAGUGCAUUCUCUGCCAUUUUAAAUGUCUAAAGUAUUACACUGCAUGCAUUUCAUUAAACGGCCUAAUUUGUAAUAAUAAUACAUUUUAUUUAUAAUGCACUCUUCAUCAGCAUAUCUCAGAGUUCAACAUAAAUGGCAAUAACAUAGGUAAUACAUAAAAUAAUAAUUCAAACUAGUAAAAAAAUUAAGUAAAAGCUAGUAAAAACAUGGAGCUUCAUGUAGGGGACCCAGAAGAGCGAGGUGCUUGCAGAUCUAAGGGUGCGGGUGGAGAUUUGGGGAGUGAGUAGUUCUUGUAGAUAGGGAGGUGCAUGUCCAUUUAUGCAUUCAUGAGUGAGUAGUAGAAUUUUGUAGUCAGUCCGGAAAGAGACAGGAAGCCAGUGUAGUGAGUGUAGGACGGGUGUUAUGUGUUCAUAUUUCGGGACUCCCAUCAGGAUCCUGUCAGCGCUGUUUUGGAUGAAUGGUCGUUUCAGGAUAUUCUUCCCAGUGAUUACAGUUAAAAGUGAAUUACAGUAGUCCAGUCUUGAGGAGAUACAGGCAUGGACAAGCUUCUCUGCAUCUGACAGGGUAAACGUGGGGCGGAGUUUGGAGAUGUUUUUGGUCAGGUAUUUUACAUGGUCAUUAAAGGUCAGGCGAGGGUCAAACCUAACUCCCAGAUUGGUAACUGUGGAGAGAGGUAUGACCUGACUGUCAAAGGUGAGAUGGAUAAUGGAGGAUGACUGAACCUGGUGUGGAGUGCCAACAAGAAGGGCUUCGGUGUUGGAUUAGCGGUUUAGCUAGAGAAAGUUGUCGUGCCUUUAUCUCCCCAAGACAGGCGAUGAGACAUGACAUGGCAGCAGAGGGGCUCGGGACAGUCUUGAUGUAGAGCUGUGUGUCGUCAGCAUAACAGUGAAAGGACCUUCCAUGUUUGCUGAUGACACGGCCAAGGGGGAGCAUGUUGGUGAUAAAGAAGUUGGGGCCAAGGACGGACCCUUGCGGAACACCACAGGAGACAGGGAGCAGUCUGGACUGCAUCUUCCCAGUAAGACCUAUUCAGUUCGGCCAGAAAAGUAGGACUGAAACCACUUAAGUCUGAUUUUCCAAUGGUGGUGUGGAGGCACUCUAGGAGGAUAGUGUGAUCCACUGUAUCAAAUGCAGCAGUCAGGUCCAGGAUGAUGAGAAUUGAGGGUGAUCCAGCCUCAGCUGUCAUCAGCAGGUCAUUCGGCACCCUGAGCAAAGCUGUUUCCGUGCUGUGAGCUGAAAGGAAUCCUGACUGAAUUUUUUCAAACAAGUUGUUGUGCUUGAGGUAGCCCUGAAGUUGAGAACCUCAUCUAGCACCUGGUACAGGAAGGGAAGGUUGGAGAUCUGUAUUGUGGUCUGUUGUUGGCUAGAACCUCCGGUCCAGGGUGGGCUUCUUGAGGAAGGGACGGAUGACAGCAACUUUGAGAGCUCUGAAACACUGCUCAGGGAUGCAUUUUACAGUUCUACUAAUUCAUCCAUUGAUGCAGAGGCUGGGCAGGUGAUGAGCUCGAGGUUCAUAGUCAUAGCAACGGAGUCUAUGCUUUUCCAGUUCCGAAAAGACAUUUGGCGCUUAGGUCUAACAGUAGGCAGCAUGAGAGUCAUGGCCAUUGAGACAACCUUGUGGUCGGACACACCAAGAUCAUAAACCUGUAGGUUACUGAUGGGAGCCGAGUCAGUGAUAACCAGAUCCCGAAUGUGCCCAUUGGUGUGAGUAGAAACCUCAAGCAAAAUGACAGGAGGGGUUGUUGACAUUAAUAUUUAAAUCACCAGAAAAUGACAAUAUUAGUGGACAUAGUGCAGAGUGAAGUAAGGAGAUCACUUACCUCAGGUAGAAGAGAUGGGUUUGGCUUUGGAGGACGGUAUAUGACAAGCACUGUCACGCAGUACGGAGAUUUGCAUUUGGAGGCCAGGUAUUCCAUAAAGGAUCAGGCAUUUGCAGAGGAGAACGUUUUAGUUCAACAUGAUGGCUGGUCCACCACCACGACCAGAGCUGCGGGCUUUCUCCAUGUAGUUAUAGCCAGGGGGACAUGCCUCAUUAAGCACAGAGUAGUCCCCUGGUUUUUGCCAGGUUUCUGUUAGGCACAUGCAGUGGCGUUUGCCAACGACCACAGGGACAAGCACAGCUUCAGCCGGGGCAGCAAUCCUAAAUGAAUCUGACUGUAUUCCAACUGAGGGAAGUAGGAAAAGGUCACAUUCCAACUCAAGGAGCAAUGGCAAUACGUAAAAACGGGGUUGAAAAAAUAAUAGCUAUAAAAGCCAUAUAAAUCACACAAGCACAAAGUGUCAAGAGGAGAGGCAGCCAACGUACCCUAUUAGCCGGGUUGUCAGUCUGUUCAUAAUAUUCUACAGUGCCAAAGAAGAAGAAGAUUUUUCUAUUGCCAAGUAUUAUUUUACACAUACAGGAAAUUGUUCUCUGAUUUAACCCAUCUCACACAGUGUGACCAGUGGGCUGUGAACGCGUCCAGGUUGGGUGUCUUGCUCAGUCGCACACACUCCAAUUAAUGCGCCACAGUCAACCCAAGAUGGUGCCUUUCCUACAGUGGGUGAAAAUGAAACUCUUAAAAAUGUGAUCUUUUUAUCAUGCCUUAGAAGUGGAGGUACUGGUUUGGAUAGAAUGUGUGAAAUAGUUACAUUGUAUUGUCUCCUAUUCCGGAACCAGCUGCAACUCACUGGAUAAUGCUAGAAUUUCUCCACAAAAAAAUACGUCUACAAACUAGUCAUGGAUGCUUUCAGUUUCAUUUCAUGAAAAUAUAGAAUCACUGUAUGGCAAAACCCAAUAUGUAAGCACCUCAUGAGUAAGGCACAAGAUCUUAUGCUGGCACAGUUUGGGAAUAAAUCUGUGCUGAGAGGACCUACUUACCUUCACAACGUCAUCGUCAACAUCACUUUUGGUUCCAUUUACGUGUCUCACUUUUCGCUAUAGGUUGGUCCCUAUUGAGUCAACAUCAAAUGCUUCAGUUUGGAUUCUUGUAUCCAAAAGGGAUUAGGAAAAGUUCUUGUACAGAUUUAUAUGCCUAAAUAUGACAAUUCUGGUUUGUACAAAUUCAAUCAAACACACCAGCAGUGGUCCUUUAAAACAAGGCUAGAGAAUAUUGCUGUCCUGUCAAUAGAUCUCAGAGAUUAAAGUAGCAGUUAACUCAGAUAUAAUCUGGAUUAUUUUAUAUUCAAUUGAGUUAAUCCUGUAUAUGUGUGAGAUUCACCAAAGUAAUCAUUUUUAUUUUGGGAUAGUACCAAUUCUCUGAGAGGGAUAGAAUUAUUGUUAUUUUCAACCACAGCACAAUAAAUGUAUGAGUCUGAAACUGG